GCGGAGGAAAAGAAACCAACAGGGAUUGCCUCAGUAACGGCGAGUGAAGCGGCAACAGCUCAAAUUUGAAAUCUGACCCCUUCGGGGCCCGAGUUGUAAUUUGUAGAGGGUGUUUCGGGCGCGGCGCCGGUCUAAGUUCCUUGGAACAGGACGUCAUAGAGGGUGAGAAUCCCGUAUGUGACCGGCGAUCAAGCCCAUGUGAAGCCCCUUCGACGAGUCGAGUUGUUUGGGAAUGCAGCUCAAAAUGGGUGGUAAAUUCCAUCUAAAGCUAAAUAUUGGCCGGAGACCGAUAGCGGACAAGUAGAGUGAUCGAAAGAUGAAAAGCACUUUGGAAAGAGAGUCAAACAGUACGUGAAAUUGUUGAAAGGGAAGCGCUUGCGACCAGACCGGUCCGGGGGUGAUCAGCCGCUGCUCGUCAGCUGGUGCACUCGCCCUCGAUCCGGCCAGCAUCGGUUUGGGCGGUGGGAGAAAAGCCUCGGGAAUGUAGCUUCUUUCGGGGAGUCUUAUAGCCCGAGGCGCAAUGCCGCCCGCCCGGACCGAGGACCGCGCUUCGGCUAGGAUGCUGGCGUAAUGGUCGCAAGCGACCCGUCUUGAAACACGGACCAAGGAGUCUAACAUCUAUGCGAGUGUUUGGGUGUCAAACCCGGGCGCGGAAUGAAAGUGAACGGAGGUGGGAGCCCGUCGCACGGCGCACCAUCGACCGAUCCAGAUGUUUUCGGAUGGAUUUGAGUAUGAGCAUAGCUGUUGGGACCCGAAAGAUGGUGAACUAUGCCCGGAUAGGGUGAAGCCAGAGGAAACUCUGGUGGAGGCUCGCAGCGGUUCUGACGUGCAAAUCGAUCGUCAAAUCUAGGCAUAGGGGCGAAAGACCA
rnacentral:rRNA from 1 species